GAUGAACGCUCGCGACAGGCUUAACACAUGCAAGUCGAGGGGCAGCACAGGUAGCAAUACCGGGUGGCGACCGGCGCACGGGUGAGUAACGCGUAUGCAACUUACCUAUCAGAGGGGGAUAACCCGGCGAAAGUCGGACUAAUACCGCAUGAAGCAGGGGUCCCGCAUGGGGAUAUUUGCUAAAGAUUCAUCGCUGAUAGAUAGGCAUGCGUUCCAUUAGGCAGUUGGCGGGGUAACGGCCCACCAAACCGACGAUUGAUAGGGGUUCUGAGAGGAAGGUCCCCCACAUUGGUACUGAGACACGGACCAAACUCCUACGGGAGGCAGCAGUGAGGAAUAUUGGUCAAUGGCCGAGAGGCUGAACCAGCCAAGUCGCGUGAGGGAUGAAGGUUCUAUGGAUCGUAAACCUCUUUUAUAAGGGAAUAAAGUGCGGGACGUGUCCCGUUUUGUAUGUACCUUAUGAAUAAGGAUCGGCUACUCCGUG
rnacentral:rRNA from 1 species